AAGAAACUGAGAGCUUGGCUAAUAGCCAUGACAAACCUGCCUUGGUAAUUAAAGUAGCCCCUCCUUUCUCCCCUGAACAAUCAGCAAAUUCUUGGUUCACUGAUGCUUCUGCCAAAUGAGAGGGAAAGCUGGGCAAAUAUAGGGCAGUUGGGGAUCUGAUAGUUGUUUGGAGUGUUUUCCAACUUGAGGUACAGAAUACCUCUCUUGUUUACAUCUGUA